CCAGUUAUCAGUGCUUAUACCACAUUUUUAAAGAUUUGCCUUGAGAGAAUCUUUAAACCUCUUUUGUUCUCCACCGGUAUUUCGCUUUCCAUUCUUAAGUUUGGAAUAGAAUAGUUGCUUUGGAAGACUAUAAUUCAGGCAUCUGCACAACAUGACCAGUCCAAUGAAGUUGAUGUUGAAGAAUCAUUGCUUCAAAGCUGGUGAUCUUUGCUUCUUCCAGUAAACUGGCAUUUGUUCGCCUGUCUUCCCAAGUGAUGUGUAAAAAAUUUUGUUGACACCGUUGAUGGAAACUUUUGAGGACUUGGAGAUGGUGUUUAUAAGUGGUCCAUGUUUAACAAGCGUUCAGUAAAGUUGGUAGUACAAUAGCUUUGUAAACAAGCAUUUUGCUUUUCCCUGAGAAUGUCCCAGUCCUCAAACAAUCUGCAAUUCAGUCGGGAGAAACUUGUGCUCGCAGAUCUCAGGGGAUGCUGGAUUUUGGCAUCAAUGUGGGCCCUUGUGGAAAGAUAACUGCACAGGUAGGGAAAGUGGUUGACAUUUUCCAAUGUUACACCAUUUGUGUAACUUUGGAAUUUGGAUUUGGAUUUGUGGUGCUGCAGAGGGGUUGUUUUGUGCUUGUUGGUACAGCACUUUGGUUUUUUGGAUAUUGAGCAAUAAGCCAACCUUCUGCAAAGAUAACUCUAUAGCCUCCAAUAUUUCUCUGAUGAAAAUACAGACCUCCUAAGGAAAAGGUUUCCCCAGCCACUCUGGGCAGCUCCCAAUAGAAUAAUAAAAACACGAUAAAAUUAAAAACACAAUAAACAUCAAACAUUAAAAACUUCCCUAAACAGGGCUGCCUUCGGAUGCGUUCUAAAAGUCACAUAGUUGUUUAUUUCCUUGACAUCUGAUGGGAUGGCUUUCCACAGGGCAGGUGCCACCACUGAGAAGGCCCUCUGUCUGGUUCCCUGUAACCUCACUUCUCGCAGUGAGGGAACCACCAGAAGGCUCUUGGAGCUGGACCUCAGUGUCCGGGCUAAACGAUGGACACAGAUGUAGCUGCAGCCAUACAGCUCAUGUUGUUGUUUAGUCAUUUAGUUAUGUCCUACUCUUCAUGACUCCAUGGACCAGAGCACGCCAGGCACGCCUGUCUUCCACUGCCUCCCACAGUUUGGUCAACCUCAUGCUGGUAGCUUCGAGAACACUAUCCAACCAUCUCGUCCUCUGUUGUCCCCUUCUCCUUGUGCCCUCCAUCUUUCCCAACACCAGGUUCUUUUCCAGGGAGUCUUCUCUUCUCAUGAGGUGGCCAAAGUCUUGGAGCCUCAGCUUCAGGAUCUGUCCUUCCAGUGAGCACUCAGGGCUGAUUUCUUUAAGAAUGGAGAGGUUUGAUCUUCUUGCAGUCCAUGGGACUCUCAAGAGUCUCCUCCAGCAUCAUAAUUCAAAAGCAUCAAUUCUUCAGCGAUCAGCCUUCUUUAUGGUCCAGCUCUCACUUCCAUACAUCACUACUGGGAAAACCAUAGCUCAUAACAGCUCAUACAUACAGCUCAUAACAGCCCCUUUUUCUGGGUUGCACCCAGUGAAAAGUCCUUUUCUUCAGCAUUCAUCUGCCACACUUCAACCGCACCUCACCAGUAGUAGGUAAAUCUAAUGAGAGAAGAAUAAACCAUAGGAAGCAAACACUGCAGUGAAGUGUCUGGCAGCCAUUCCACAUGCAGAAUUGACAACAGAGAUAAGUUCACAAAACACUGGUUGCCCCUCUGCUUUUAUAGUAUGCCUUCCCCUUAAGGAUGUUUUCCCCUCGAGUGACUGAAUUGGGUGUUGCUAAGCUGUAGAGCCAUCAAUCAAAGAUCAGAGGUAGGGUUUUUCUGUGUGAAUCACAGGGAUGAAGGAUGCAUUUGCAGCGGCUUACAUUCUACCAGCAGGGAUGCCAAUCGCUGCUAUUCUUGCCCACCCCACCCCCCACCUUUGGUUUAAAUUGCUAGGCAAUUUUGCUCCCUAACUUCAUGACAGGCAGCUGGGAAGGAAUACUGGAGCUAAAUUUCAUUUGCUCUAUAUUUUGUUUUAGUUACUGGCAUAUAUUUAAGUGAUAUAUGAACUAAAUCUGAAUGCAUAUUCCUAAAACCAGAGUGAUAGUCAUGUUAUACGGCCUCAGCAGCAACAACAGCCAAGAACCUGCAUGGCACCUUAAAAACGAGCAGAUGUUCUGUGGCAUAAGCUUUUGUGAGCUAGAGAACCCACUUCAUUAGAUGCAUGAGUUGUUACCCUCAGUUGGCAGAUUUUGUGUGUGCACGCGCAACAGGCACACACACACACACACACACCCCGGCACAGCACAGGAAACUGGAAACUGUGUCAUCAGAUAAGUGAUAAAAAUGCAGGCGGCACAUUGGAUCUGUGAUAUUUUCCGUGCAAAGCUCAAGUGUAUACAAUGGCAUCUACCGCUUGUAGUUAUUUUGAAUAUCAGUAAUAUUGUAUACAGCAGUACCUCGGGUUAAGUACUUAAUUUGUUCCGGAGAUCCGUUCUAAACCUGAAACUGUUCUUAACCUGAAGCACCACUUUAGCUAAUGGGGCCUCCUGCUGCCGCCGUGCCACUGGAGCACGAUUUCUGUUCUCAUCCUGAAGCAAAGUUCUUCACCCGAGGUACUAUUUCUGGGUUAGCGGAGUCUGUAACCUGAAGCGUACGUAACCUGAAGCGUAUGUAACCCAAGGUACCACUGUACUGUAACUCCAUUUGUUACAUGUAAAGAAUGUGCUUUUAUUGAAAAAUAAAAAAUUAAUGAGUAACGAGGAAUUUUUUUUUACAGUCAGCAAAUUUAGGCUUCAAUCCUACCUCCAAUCCUCAUCCCAAUGGGAGUAAGUCCAUUCAAUAGGAUGGACUUCUGAUAGGUACACAUGGCCAUGAUUGCACUGUUUAGCCUUAGUAAAGUUUCUCUGUGUGUGCAUUACCUUUAGCUUGCCAAAGACAUGCAUUUGUGUGUUUUGGGGUGCUACAGAAGAACACGGCUCUGAAAAAAGCUCUUUGGGGGGCAACCUCUCAGAGCAAAGUCAUGUGAGAUCAUGGCACCCAAAAUGGCCGCCGUGCUCUUGCGCAAGAAAACAGAAUACUCCGUUUUUUCCAGGGCACUUGCAGAGUAUGCUGAAGAUCUAUGUGUGUGUAGAGAGAUUGUCAUGUUCUACAGUGAAAGUAAAUGGUCACAGGGCAGGACCUGAGGAAAAGCACAUCAAAGUCCAUAAAAGGAAGAGAACAUGAGGAUGCAGAGAGAGGAGAUGGAGUAAAAUGGGGAAAGAAUAUCAUUUUGGGGUAGCGUGGGAAGAUCCUGGACCCAAAUCCAGGCUCAGAUCCUAACAUCUCACGGCAGUUCUCACUCCAUGUUUUUGAUUCAUGCGAAUCAAAUAGUAGUGCAGGAUAGAAUGUGCAUUGAUAGAAGCUUUUCUUUUCCCAGACCCAUCAUUUCAGAGGUCAUGACAAGGUACUGGUAGGUAGCAAUUUUGAAUUACCUUUUUAAAAAAGAAAAAGCUUAGUUUUGUUGACAAUUCUCCUUUUACUUCAAACCUUGAAAGUCCUGUCUGGGCUUUGUUGGUUCAUUUGCCUGCAAUUCCUUUUUAUUAGCUGCCUUGCUCUGUGUGUUCACUGCUGCAUUCAGGCUUUAUAUUGCCGUGUAAUAUUCUAAAUGCUCCAGAAUGAAUUCAGACUUUCCUCCCAUUGUUUUAGUGUUUCACUUUCCCUCUUGACAGUCCUGCAAUUUACUCUGCACUAAGGACCAGGAAAGGCCCUGCCUCUGGCUAAGCAUUCUGACUGCUGGAUAUAAUAACUAGUGUCACAAACAUAAUAAAAUUUUAUAUGAUUUUUUUAUUGGCUCCCUCCUGGAAGAAUUAUGGCAGCAGCGGUGGCCUGUUGAGCAAAUGUGUGUGGCUGCAGGCGGACUGCAUCUGUCUCCUCUCUUACAGAAGUCACCAUCUCCUCUCUCUCUGCCCCCUCUGUGCAAGGAAAAUCCACAUUAGUCAUAGCAACAGAGAUUAAAAUAAUUUUUUAAAAGGGGCUUACUUUACCCCUGUGCUUGUUUAAACUUAAAACUGAUUUCCCACCCUCCUUUCUUUCCUGGAACAAAGCCAGUAGCUUGUUGCUUAUUAUUGAUAAAUGGUUCGAACACGGACAUCGGUGCAUAAACUGUGUUUUGCACUCCUUCCUCGUCUCAUUUUAUGCAUCUAGGAACUUCUUUGAGGGAGGUCAAUAUGUAUGACAUCCAUUUCUGAAAACUGUGCUGAAAGUGCCAGGAAGCGCCAGCCUAAUGAGCCUAUAGCCCUCUGCUAGACCACCCUGCAGGAGUCUGCUGUAAUAAUGUUUCAGAUUUAUCUACAUGUCUUCCUAGUUUAUCUCUUGGGUGGCUGCUUUCUUGUGCAUCAAAAAAGAGCAACAAUAGAAUCAUGGAACUGUGGAGUUGGAAGGGACCACGAGAGACAUCUAGCUCAACACCCUGCGAUGCAGGAAUUCUUGGCUCAAACCCACAACCCUGAGAUUAUGAGUCUCAGGCUCUAUGAACUGGGCUAUUGCAUCACAGAAAAACAGACCAGGUAUUAUAGAUUUACGUAAGUUUUGCAUAUGCUAAUCUAUAUAUAAAGAUGCAAAUUUGGCAAGAAUUACUAUAAUUUAAAUAGAAACCCAGCACAUCUCUGCAUAGUGAGGAAGACUGUGGCCAGGUAAUCUAUGUGUCUGCUCAGUUUUCUGUCUAUGUUCUAUAUGUUGAAGAGCACUUCAAAACUGCCCACCUCCUCCCUGGCUUUCCCUUCUUCUUUAUUUAGUAAAACAAAUGUUAUUUGCCGUUAAACUGAACUUGGGCCAGACACUCUUCAAUUAGAGGCCCACCCUCACCAAAGUAGGACAUGUGGCCAUCCUAUUUAUAUGGCAUUAUUUAUUAUUUCUUAAAUUUCCAUAUUGCCCUUCAUCCAAGGAUCACAGGAUGGUUUGUAAUAAUAAUUUUAAAAAACCAUAAUGACAAACCAAAACAAUACCACUCCCCGCCACAGUUUAGAAGACCAUAGAUUGUUUGAUUAGCCAAAGGCCUGGGAGAAGAGAGAUGUUUUUGCCUGGUGCCUAAAGAUAUGUAACGGAGGCGCCAGGUGAGCCUCCCUGGGGAGAGCAUUCCAGAAAUGGGGAGCAACCACCGAAAAGGCCUAUUCUUGUGUUGCUACCCUCCGGACCUCUUGUGGAUGAGGCACACGAAGAAGAGCCUUAGAUGAUGAUCACAGGGUCCGGGACAGUUCAUAUGAGGAGAGAGACAUGAAUCUUGGCAAAACACAGCCAUUAGAAACUGUGUGCCAUCAUGAUUCAAGAAAAUGAGUCCUGGUUCCACUGAAAGAGACAUUGAACUGGAAGAAGCUGUGAGGUCAUCCAGUUGCAGCUCUCAACCUGGUACCCACAUUUACAGCAUCAGUGAUGGUGUUUGUUCAGAUUCUCUCAGGACUUCCCCCAAGAAAUGUGCCUCUGUGAUGGUGGCAAAGAGAGAGGCCCAGCUCUGUGGUUUACAAUUUAAUCCUGGGUUUCUUAUUGGCACAAAAUUGGAAGCAAGAAGAAUUACCGACAAGAGAAGAAUGGAGGAUGAAACUGAUGGGCUAUGCAGAAUUAGACAAACUAACAGUAAGAAUUUGAAACCUGCGGGACCAGAGAUUCUCAGAAAACUGGAGUAAAUUUACGGACUAUUUGAAAAGUAAUUGUGAGGAUCAGAUUACGCUAGUAGGUUUGCAAGAAGUUUUGUAAGGUGAAUUAUUUGAAAUAUUGCAAAAAAGACAAUGAGGAUUGUUAGUCAAUAUAAUUAAAGGUAAUAUGAAAUUAAGAAAUGCAUAAUAAGUGAUAAGAACGGAAAAUCAUCAGAGGUGUUGACGGAAGUCCAAAAAAAUGUUGCAUAAGAUGAGAAGUUUUGUUGUAUGAAUGAUAAUUAAUAUGCUAAAAACUAAUAAAAAUGUUAUAUUUAAAAAAAUCCUGGGUUUCUGUGGAGUCACCAAAAUGUUUAGAAAGUGUAAACUGAAGAUGUGGCAGAGAAAACAACAACAACAAUGAGGGAAAUUAAGUAACAGAGAAUCACAGGUAUUAACAAAGAUAGUUUGGAGUCUCAGGCCAUUUAGAGGAUGCUAUAAAAUUUGUCUGAGUUGUCUGUUGCUCAGCAGAGGUAAUGAAGCCUCACUUUUUGUCAGCAGGAUAAUUAAACACAACAUUGCUGUUGCUGUCCUGGCUGGAUGAGGUCAGCUUUUCCAGGGCCUCCGAUGAUCAAGGCACUGGGGUUUUAUUCCUGUUCUUAUUUGUAUUCAUAUUCCAGCAUGAGUCAAAACACCAAGCAACAGAUGAUCCAUUACUACAAACAAGGAACAAAUGUGCUAAAUUAAAAUAAAUUGAUAUAGAUUAUAGAGAUUACAUUCUUAAAAGGCCUGCAGCGCAGAUCUGGAAAGGCUAUUAGACAGACCACAGCAGAGAAUGGAGAGCCGUUCACAAAUACUAAUACAGCCUUGCUUACAGGAAAACACAUCUUAUUAUUUUCAAAUUUCGCAAACAAGAUGGGAAUAGAGGGGAUAUCCAAGAUCUGGCUUUAAAAGAAUUUUAGAAUGUCGGUUGGGGUAUUUAUAUAGAUGUAAUUUACUGUGUACAAAUUACUUACAUUCCCCAUUUGUGCUUUGAUGAAGGCCAUUAGCUUUAUUGCCCUUUGUCUGGACAUCCCACAGGCAUCUUGGUGGGUGAGGAACAUCAUUCGAAACAGCGUGCUAAACCAAAUGCACCUCAGUUUGAUCCAGUAAGGUACUGACAUUUCUUGCCUUCUUGUUAGGAAUGGGCAGAUCAGUUAAUUUCAGCUUCUCCCUGUUUCUCAUUUUUCCAGUAACCUUUCCAAUUCACCACAUUUAUAAUAAUAAUAAUAAUUUAUUAUUUAUACCCUGCCCAUCUGGCUGGGCUUCCCCAGCCACUCUGGGCGGCUUCCAAAAAAAAAAAAAAAAAAAUUUAAAAUACUGUACUACAUCAAACAUUAAAAGCCUCCCUAAACAGGGCCGCCUUCAGAUGUCUUCUAAAAGUCUGGUAGUUGUUGUUCUCUUUGACAUCUGGUGGGAGGGCAUUCCACAGGGAGGGCGCCAGUACCGAGAAGGCCCUGUAACUUGGCUUCUCGCAGUGAGGGAACCGCCAGAAGGCCCUCGGUGCUGGACCUCAGUGACCGGGUAGAAUGAUGGGGGUGGAGAAGCUCCUUCAGACCGAGGCCUUUUAGGGCUUUAAAGGUCAGCCCCAACACUUUGAAUUGUGCUCGGAAACGUAUUGGAAGCCAAUGUAGGUCUUUCAAGACCGGUGUUAUAUGGUCUUGGCGGCCGCUCCCAGUCACCAGUCUAGCUGCCGCACUCUGGAUUAGUUGUAGUUUCCGGGUCACCUUCAAAGGUAGCCCCACGUAGAGCGCAUUGCAGUAGUCCAAGCGGGAGAUAACCAGAGCAUGCACCACUCUAGCGAGGCAGUCCGCAGACAGAUAGGGUCUCAGCCUACGUACCAGAUGGAGCUGGUAAACAGCUGCCCUGGACACAGAUUUGACCUGUGCCUCCAUGGACAGCUGUGAGUCCAAAAUGACUCCCAGGCUGCGCACCUGGUCCUUCAGGGGCACAGUUACCCCAUUCAGGACCAGGGAAUCCUCCACACCUGCCCGCCUCCUGUCCCCCCAAAACAGUACUUCUGUCUUGUCAGGAUUCAACCUCAAUCUGUUAGCCACCAUCCAUCCUCCAACUGCCUCCAGUUCACCUUAAAAAAAAAAAAUUCUUAGGUUGGAAAACUGCACUGCAGAAUCUGAAGAAAAGCGCAUUUUAAAAGACAGCUGUAUUUUGGUUGGCAUAUUGUUCCAGAAAGUGCAAAUUUGUUCCCUUUCCCUAGGAAAUUCCUUGUUCAGUCUUGGUGAAAUGGGGGGGGGGAGAGACGGGUAUUACUAGGAAACAAGAGUAUCAAGCCAAAGUCCGCACAUUGGUUGCUACUCCUGUCUAUAAUUAUGUGUCCCUCCUCCAGUGCCUGAGAAAUAAAUCCCCUCAAAUAUAUUUCCUCAAACACAAUGCAAAGAUUGUUUGCUCAUCCUGUUCAGUUCCUGUUUGUACUGCCUCAAUGUCUAUAUAUUGAACAUGUGAACUCAGACACAUUUAAUCGCAUGCCAGGAUCUACCCUCCCAAUCUGAACAGAGAAGUGCAAAGUGUUUCCUUCUGUGAGCAAGUGCAGUGAUAGCUGAUGCGAUUGCCUUCUGGUGUGUUUGGGUGUUCAGGCCCAGAAACCUCCCCCCUAAAUAAAUUCACACUUGACUCAAGUUUUAGGUUUGCUUUUUGGCAGAAUUUAGGCCACAACUUUAUUGAUUACAGAAAGUGACUGGUUGCAUAGGCUCUGAUUCGACUAGCUCCCUGCCAUGCAGGUAGCGCUGACCCAGGGCACCAGCAUAGGUCAGCCAAGGGUGAACACCUGGAUAAGUGGAAAGCCGGGCAUGGGCUGACUCCGCCACCCAAAUGUCCCCCUGGACUCAGGCAUGGGCACAAUCCCCUCACAGGGGUUGACCAAACCGUCGAGUCCCUGGAUUCCUUUAACGGAAUACCCUUCACAUAGGGAUGGCGAGAGCGUUCUCCCAUCCCUAUCACCUGAACCAGAGCCUAUUCGCAACCUUACAAGUUGUGACGAUUUGCUACGCGGCAGGCGAAAUCCAAAUGGCAACAGCCAAUCAGCCAAGUGUGGGAAAUUCCUGCUGUGCCCCUGUCCCAACGACAGAUGACACACGGUGCCAUAGCAAGGUCAAGCACAACAAAGCUCUAAAAGUAGGGAGAGGUGGGCGGGUGUUCCGAAUGCACGCACCGAAAGAGGAAGCUCUGGGUCACGUGCAUGGGCAUAAAUAGGUCCCUCAAACCGUUUGGACUGCGUCCCAUUGGCCAGAUUGCACACAGCUUCGAGGGACCUACCAAUUGAGUGUUGUGGCUUACCACUUGAACCCACCCACAACACAGUGUGUCGGUUGUCCAGGUUUCACCGCAAUAUGUGCCCUCUUUAAGGGAGGACCCAAUUUGUCUAAUGGGGGAAUGCUCACACCUUUUUGUGAUCCGGUCUCUUUUAUUUGUGGCAGCCAUUUUGUGUCAUGUUAUGCCACCCUUCCCCCAUGACAGUCAACUUGUGAUGUACCACACUCCCACAACAGCAUACCCUGCAAGUGUCCCGGAAAAGAACGAGAUGUCUUGUUUUCUCAUUUGAGAACACAGCAGCCAUUUUGGGUGCUGUGCUCUCUUGCAAUUUCACACUGAGAUCUAUUAUUAUUAUUAUUAUUAUUAUUAUUAUUAUUAUUAUUUUCAAUUUUAUACAUUUCAAUAAUUUUACAAUCCUUUUAACAUUUCAAAACUUGACUUCCUUCCCCCUCUUUCUGUGGUUUCUUAAAUUUAUUCUCAAUACUUUCUGCAUAUCCAAAUUAACUUAAUUUGCUCAUUUAUUCAUUUACUUUAACUAUAUACUCUUAUAAAAAUGCAGGUUAUUACAACAAUCCUGCCAAUGUUCUUAUCUGUUUACAGUUUAUUUGUAAAUAUUCAAUAAACCAUUUCCAUUCUUUUAUAAAAAGUUUGUUAUCUUGAUUUCUUAUUUUUCCAGUAACUUUCGCCAUUUCUGCAUAUUCCAUACGUUUUUGUAUCCAUUCUUCUUUUGCCACUGUAGUUGUAUACAUGAAUAAAUUUCUAUACAGUUUGGGUAGUUCUGUCCCUAUAAUUCCCAAAAGGAAAGCUUGGGGGCUUUUUUUACAAUUCACACUGAGAUCUUGCCCAGAAAAAAAGCGUGACGCCCCAAAAUGCAUGGUUUUGGGUGCUGUGCGAGCAUGGCCCUGAAAAAAUCAUGUCUUUGGGGCUCUGUGAUCUCUUGUGGGUCAUAUGACUUACGUGGGAAAACAGGUAGGAAUAUGCAUGUCCCGGUUUUGGGACCCAAGAUUCGGAGGAUAUGCAGCAGUUUUUUCCCCACCACUGGUACCCACAGCACUUUCCAAGUUGCAAAUUUGCCCACUGGCCCCAAAGGAUUGGCAACCCCUGAGCUGUGUUAUUAGCUAGUUUAAAAAGAGAGAUAAAACAGUUGUGAAAUAUUGCGCAUACUUGUGAGGUAAGUCCUUAAGCCCUUCCCUCACUUAAUCCAGAGGACCAGUGUCCUUCUCACUCUGUAUACAGUGUGAGGAAGCCAAACAUGACACAGGCUCUUACCUAGUCUCUUAAUUGCAUAACAGCUUAAGAUGGCUUUACAUGAAGCAACACAACUUGGUCUUUAAAUGGCCCUCACUAAUAUGUCCUCCCAUUUUGGAACGUUAUUUUCAGUAAUAUAUGGAUCUAUAUGCAUGCUUUACCUUGUUAUAUGGGUUUUUGCAAACAUUACUUAGGCGGAGAGCUGCAUUGCAAAAUUCAGAGAGAUGCAAUUUUGAAGGACAAGUGUGUUUUGGUCUGCAUAUUGUUUCAAAAUGUGUGAGCAUUUAAAGUUCACCUUUAAAUGCAUACUGGGAUGAAUUUCUACCUCUUCUCUAGCAUUGAGUGGGUGUGAGUGAGUCCCCAGAAGCACCUAUUGGUUUCCAUAUUGGUUCCUAUGAAUUUCCAUAUUGGUCCCUACAAAUUUCUGCUUUGUAUUAAGUCCUUGUGGGUUCAAUGUGGCUAACUCCCAGGCAGGUGCAUUUAGGGUCAUAGCCCAUGUACCUCAUGUGAUGUGGGAAAACAGCUAAUGUACAUUGUGAGUCAUAAGGAACGGGUAAUUUUCAUGUAUUCUUUAAGCAAGCACAGAGAUAUGACUGGCAAUUAGGAGAAUAAUUUUGUAAUGGGUAAAGAUGUUGUAUAAGAUGUGCCUCAGAUGUGCAUCUGGUAGGGCUUCUGGAAGUUUCUCAGCUAUUCUCGAAUCUGUGUCUUAUAUCUGAGUAUGCCCUGCCCAUGUCUGAAAAGCAUGAGCCCGUCUCUGUUUUCCACAGAUGAGUUUGGCUACCGCACGGUUAGAACAACUCCAAAACAUGCAGAGAAAGCAUAAUCUAAUUUACAUGAUGAUAUUCUGAUUGCAAAUGGCAAAAGAGCAGCUCCAUAGAGUGAGCUGGAUUUAUGGCAUGCAUAUCUGGUGGUUUAGAUCAACUGAUAAGUGAACGAGGUACUUUUCAGGACAAUCUAACACAGCUGGAGGCAUCAAAACAAACAAAAAUGGACAGUCUGACUCGGUAAACAACAAUAAAAUUCUUUUGUAGCUUGAUAAGCUCAUUGAGGCCCAACUGAAUAUUUCAUUGAAAGACGGAGGAGAGCCUGGCAGCUCAGCAUUUCAUGUCUCGCUCCCGAAACGAAGGCUGCAAUUAUGUGCACAGUUAGCUUGGCUAAAUCCUAUUGAUUUCUCUCACGCUGUUACAAGGUAGAGCCUAUCCAUGAAAUUUGUUCAAAAUAAUAGUGUAUAUGUAUUUUCAUAUCAUAGUUACUUAUUGAAAGCGAUCCCUUAUUGGGAUGAAAUAGUUUUACGUUCAAAACAGUGCAAUGGCAGAAUAUGAAAAUGUUGCCCUUUGCUUCGGCCGAGUGACCAGUUACAUGGUCACCAGUGGUGGCUGGUGGGAUUUGUGAUCCAUAACGUGGAUCAUCUCCUGACCCGGGAAAAUUUCGUGCACCAAGGCAUAUUGAUGGAACAGGGUUGGCACUCGUCUAUAACCAGAGGCCCAUUUCCUAGGAAAAGCUCCAGUAGCCUUUCUCGACUCGACAAAUGAGCUGGAACAACUGCUAGCACUGCAUGGUGUUUUUCUCCGGUGGAAAUCAGAAUGACUGUACAUUGCUGCAGAUUUGUUUUUAUGGACCUGCAGUUUUAUGGUGGAUUUUCAUUAUUGUAUUUUGCUCGAUGCUUCAUACCUUUAACUGAUUCUGAUGCCUCUGUAUCUACACCCUGGGAGCUGCAGGUUGAAGGGCGGAUUACAAAUACUUUAAAGCAAAUGUCUUGACCAAAAAGUAGCCACUUGCUUGCCACAGCUGGGAUUUUUAAAAGUGCAAUAGAGCCUCAUAGUUGGCCAUUGUGAAUCUAAAGGAAUGAACUGCAUUCUGAGAGCAGUAUCAGCUGAUGGGGUGGUUCACUGAGCAAAAUUGUGUGGGGACAAAAUGCCUUUUGCCUCCCACCACAGUGGUACCUAUUUAUCUACUUGCACUGGUGUACUUUUGAACUGCUAGGUUGGCAGGCGCUGGGACAUGGGAGCUCACUCCAUCGUGGGGAUUCGAACCACCAACCUUCUGAUCGGCAAGCCUAAGAGGCUUGGUGGUUUAGACCACAGCGCCACCCACGUUAUAUAAUGUAUGCAUUAUGCCACAAUGGAAGGUGGGCCAGGACCCGGACCAUGCCACUGAACCUCCCCUUAACACACUCAGUGUGGGCAAAUGCGUGGUGGGGCCCUGCUAUGUGUGAGCAGCUGCUCAGGGUAGGUGCUCCUCACAAUCACAACCCACAAAUGUCUUGCCGGGAUCCUGAACAUGUGACAUGCUUUCAGAUGGGAUGAGCAGGUGCUCAUAUGCAACCCCCUCUGGGUAUGAGUCCAAGCUGGGGCAGGUGUUGAGGGUGGGAUUGGCAGAGGAGGGUGUGCAGUCCCGCACCACCUUCGGGCAUGAUAGCCAUAAGCAUGGAAAAAGACAUGCCGAAAGGAAUUCUCUCUCGCACUGGAAUCCCAACACUAGAAGACAGCCAGCACAAUCCUAUGUGUAUCUCCUCUGAUGUAAGUCCCACUGAGGUCAAAGUCCCACUUACNNNNNNNNNNNNNNNNNNNNNNNNNNNNNNNNNNNNNNNNNNNNNNNNNNNNNNNNNNNNNNNNNNNNNNNNNNNNNNNNNNNNNNNNNNNNNNNNNNNNUCUUAACCUGAGGCAUCACUUUAGCUAAUGGGGUCUCCUGCUGCCACUGUGCCAGCAGAGCACGAUUUCUGUUCUCAUCCUGAAGCAAAGUUCUUAACCCCAGGUACUACUUCUGGGUUGGCGGAGUCUGUUACCUGAAGCGUCUGUAACCUGAAGCGUCUGUAACUCGAGGUACAACUGUACUCUGAAUUCUGUGCAUCAGCAGAUAAAAACGUCCUUUUGGUCAAUUUUCUCAGAUUUCUGCUUAUCUGUAUAUUAAUGGCAAAACCAAAACCAGUUUUUGAGGGUGGUGGAUACCUACUUUGUUGGAGGGAUAAAGAAGAAAGCAUAGGACCUUACCACAAAAGAAAAGUCUUUUUCUGUUUUAAAACAACAAAACUGCAAGCCCCAGACAUGCUGCUUCCUUCCUGCUUCAGUCUUUGAGAGGGAAUAUGAGACUGGCCAUUGUGACCCCAUGCUGAUCUCCCCAGCUGGAAGGAGAUGCUGGCCACUGUGACCUCAUGGUGAUGCUAUAUGAAAGACAUCAGCCAGCCAUUGUGACCUCAUGCUGAUGUCAAUUUGCAGGAGAAAGCCCACUUACUGCCAGCUGGCUGGGAGCAUCGGUUGUGGUCCAGGAUGGCAAUGGCGGGUCGGGGCAGCAUCUUGGCUUUGGUGUGGCCGGGGGAUGAUUUCACUCCGUCCUCCGGCCACACUGAGCGAUGGGGCUCAUCCAUGGUUGCAGCCAAUUGUGGGCGAGCUCAGGGGCAUGGUUUGGGAGCGAAACAGAAGGAAAUCUUGGGUCAGAUUCCAUCACCCAUUGUUCCCUACUCUGUGUGUUUGUGGGCUGCCCUGUAGAGGACCUUGCUGUGCAAAUUUUCAGUCACAGUAGCCAGAGCCAGGGAGAAAUUUGCCUUCAGACUGACUGGGUCUGUCUGAGGGUUUUGCCCAUCUCAUAGCAAUUGUGACGACUUAUGGUGGAUAAGGCAAUGAAUUGGAUCCUUAGUCUAAUUGGACAAGGAAUAGCUCCUCUCCCAACCCACCCCAAGGGAUCAAGAGUAUCCCCUUGAUGGGAUCCUGGGGAGGUGCUUUUGUCUGGAAACCCAAAAAAGGGACCGGCGCUGCAUUUGAAUGACCUCUGUAUAAAAUAAUAACAAAGAAAUAAGGAAAAUUGGUACGAUACAUUGUAAGAAUGUACAGUGGUACCUCGGGUUAAGUACUUAAUUCAUUCCGGAGGUCCGUUCUUAACCUGAAACUGUUCUUAACCUGAAGCACCACUUUAGCUAAUGGGGCCUCCUGCUGCCACCGCACUGCCAGAGCAUGAUUUCUGUUCUCAUCCUGAAGCAAAGUUCUUAACCCGAGGUACUAUUUCUGGGUUAGCAGAGUCUGUAACCUGAAGCGUAUGUAACCCGAGAUACCACUGUAUUACAAAAUAUGAAAAGACGAAGGUAAUAAUCAUAGGUACAUUCGAUCUUAGAAAUUUUAAAUGCACUGGUAGUUGAUGGGAAGUCUAUCACGCAUUAGUAAGAAUGUUGAACAAAAGAG
rnacentral:lncRNA from 1 species